AUUGAACGCUGGCGGCAGGCUUAACACAUGCAAGUCGAGCGGGGGAAGGUAGCUUGCUACUGGACCUAGCGGCGGACGGGUGAGUAAUGCUUAGGAAUCUGAGUAUUAGUGGGGGACAACAUCUCGAAAGGGAUGCUAGUACCGCAUAAGUCCUAAGGGAGAAAGCAGGGGAUCUUCGGACCUAGCGCUAAUAGAUGAGCCUAAGUCGGAGUAGCUAGUUGGUGGGGUAAAGGCCUACCAAGGCGACGAUCUGUAGCGGGUCUGAGAGGAUGAUCCGCCACACUGGGACUGAGACACGGCCCAGACUCCUACGGGAGGCAGCAUUGGGGAAUAUUGGACAAUGGGGGGAACCCUGAUCCAGCCAUGCCGCGUGUGUGAAGAAGGCCUUAUGGUUGUAAAGCACUUUAAGCGAGGAGGAGGCUACUUUAGUUAAUACCUAGAGAUAGUGGACGUUACUCGCAGAAUAAGCACCGGCUAACUCUGUGCCAGCCGCCGCAGUAA
rnacentral:rRNA from 1 species